CAGUCGCCACGGUAAUGCGAAGGGGGCUAGCGUUGCUCGGAAUUACUGGGCGUAAAGGGCGCGUAGGCGGCCAUUCAAGUUAGAUGUGAAAGCCCUGGGCUCAACCUAUGAAUUGCAUUUGAUACUGUUUGGCUUGAGUUCGGGAGAGGUGAGUGGAAUUCCCAGUGUAGAGGUGAAAUUCGUAGAUAUUGGGAAGAACACCAGUGGCGAAGGCGGCUCACUGGACCGACACUGACGCUGAGGCGCGAAAGCGUGGGGAGCAAACAGGAUUAGAUACCCCGGUAGUCCCUGUCUCUUAUAC
rnacentral:rRNA from 1 species